AUUGAACGCUGGCGGCAGGCCUAACACAUGCAAGUCGAACGAGUGGCGGACGGGUGAGUAAUGUCUGGGAAACUGCCCGAUGGAGGGGGAUAACUACUGGAAACGGUAGCUAAUACCGCAUACCAUCGGAUGUGCCCAGAUGGGAUUAGAUAGUAGGUGGGGUAACGGCUCAACUAGGAGACGAUCCCUAGCUGGUCUGAGGGGAUGACAGUCCACACUGGAACGGAGACACGGUCCAGCCUCCUACGGUAGGCGCAGGUGGGGAAUAUGGCACAAUGGUGGCAAGCCUGAUGCAGCCAGGCCGCGGGGAUGAAGAAGGCCUUCGGGUUGUAAAGUACUUUCAGCGAGGAGGCGUUACUCGCAGAAGAAGCACCGGCUAACUCCGUGCCAGCCGCCGCGGUAAUAC
rnacentral:rRNA from 1 species